GAAAUGCGAUAAGUAGUGUGAAUUGCAGAAUUUAGUGAAUCAUCGAAUCUUUGAACGCACAUUGCGCCCCUUGGUAUUCCAUGGGGCAUGCCUGUUCGAGCGUCAUUUGUACCCUCAAGCUCUGCUUGGUGUUGGGUGUUUGUCCCGUCUCCGCGCGUGGACUCGCCCCAAAGUGAUUGGCAGCCGGCGUACUGGUCCCGGAGCGCAGCACAUGUCGCGCAAACGAGUGCCUUGGUACGGCGGCGUCCAUAAGCCCCUCUCUCACGCUCUUGACCUCGGAUCAGGUAGGGAUACCCGCUGAACUUAAGC
rnacentral:misc_RNA from 1 species